CUUUGAGGUCGAGCCUUUUAACUAAUUGUGUCAAUAAUAAUUUCAUACAUCAGUUGAGGUCUAUAUAAUUAAACUGUUUAACAUCAUCGCCUAAAAUUUAUUAGGUAUCAAAACUCAACAAAUAUCUAACUUGAUACCUAAUGAACCUGCAAGUAACCAAAAUACAAAGUUAAUACUUGCAUAAUCAACGUAACCAGUAUAAUUGGGAUUACAAACCUUAUCUCAUGUUUCAAACUCGAAAUACAUACUAUACCUGCUCUAUAUACUCACCAAGAAUAAGGUUAAGAAACACCAAAGUAGAAAACAAUUACAGUAAUCAAUCAAGAGCAAAUAAAAAUGCAAUGAAAAUAUAACAUAGGAUAACACGCGGAUCAUUUCAAAACACGUUCACAAAGAACAAUAUUCCAACCCCAAGUUAAUCAAUCAAACGAUCAACACAUAUGUGACAAAAGUAUAAAUGACCCUAGAAAAUGUCUCACCGCACUUAUCAUAUCUCAUUUCAUGUUGUUCACAUCUCGAGAACACAAAUCUCCUCACAUUGCCCACCAUGCUCACUAAACUAAUACUAACCUCAUGUCUAACUAGUAAAUUGCUAUAGAUCUUAAGUCUAUGCGAUAGUCUUCUAUCACUACCUCACUUCUCUCAACUUAAGCUGAUAAUAAGUCUUCACUUAAUAGAAAUAAUAGAAGUGUCUCUUUUACACUCAACUUAUACAGAAUAUUCGUAGAUAAAGAAUUCCAGAUAUUUAAUCAUAUCUCCGCUCGUGAUCCAAAUAUCAUACCUCGUAUCCAUGUCCAUAUCACCAAUGCAUCCUUAAGUGUCUAUAAUCCACAUCACCAAUAAACACACAUUACACUUACUGCUAAUGCAUCACAACCUACUAUAUAUGCAAACAAUUACACUAAGUAGUCAAAUUGCUCUCAAAUUCAUGUAAAUACACAUAUCAAACACAUUGAAAUGCAACAUAUAACCAUGCAACAAAAUUAAUCAAUCAUACACGUACAUUAAGGGUUACAUGCAGAUACACAUACAUUAACUAUAUUUAUUCUCAAUAAACCUCAUUAGGGUCAUCACAUAUCGACAUUUGCAUCACCUCUUAUCUUACCCUUCUACUUAUCCUACUUCUUAGGAUAGACCUUCACAAGAUGUUCAAACUUACGAUUGUUGUAACACCGCUUACCACUAGACUUAUCUCAAUCCUUACCUUUCUUCUUACCAUCUUCAUCACUAGAGUCACUACUGUCUUGAGCCUUGUCCAAACUCAUUUGCUUAAACUUCAUUCUACUUAUCAUCGUAUAUAACUCAUCAUUCCUCUUAUCCUCUUUUUAGCCUUAAUUUACACCUCCUUACUCUUAAAGGAACCUAUGACAAUCUCUAGUGUUUAGAUAUCCCUACCUUAAUUACAUUCUUAACCUCUCUAUAUGAAUCAGGAAUGGAGUUGCAAAAUAAUAGUUUUAUAUAUUCCAGACACAUUUUAAUCACAAUUAACAAUGUAUUGAACAAGCUUGUUAAAAACAUUCAAAUUAUCAUUAAGAUCUUUUGAAUGAUCCACUUUAAAGCUAAAAAAU
rnacentral:lncRNA from 1 species